rnacentral:rRNA from 1 species
CACGCCUAACACAUGCAAGUCGAACGCAGUAGCAAUACUGAGUGGCAAACGGGUGAGUAUAAUGCGGGAAUCUGCCUUUUGGUUCGGAAUAACACGAGGAAACUUGUGCUAAUACCGGAUAAGCCCUUACGGGGAAAGUUUUAAUGCCAAAAGAUGAGCCCGCACUUGAUUAGCUAGUUGGUAAGGUAAUGGCUUACCAAGGCAACGAUCAGUAGCUGGUCUGAGAGGAUGACCAGCCACACUGGGACUGAGACACGGCCCAGACUCC